rnacentral:lncRNA from 1 species
AAAAAAUCCACUUCAUAGAGAACAAAACAUCACACCCUAACAUAUUGAAAAACAUCAUUACAACCAUAUAAUUGUUUGCAAUGUCACAUGUUGCUCAGGUAAUCGAAACAGCUUUCCCAUAUCUAGAACCUUUCUACGUAUUUACUUGUUGCAAAAUGCAGGGACGCAUCAAGUAUACAUUGUAAACAAGAAAGAGAUUACCUUUGUCUGCCAUCUUGAUAGGUACAUAGAUUUCCUUGAUUCUUUGUUGAUUCGGAGAUGGAUAAAGUCGGGCUUUGGUGAAGUAGUUGGAUUUUUUGUUGAAUGCUACUCGGAUUGUCCUCGGAGGGAGUCACAUGGGUAAAAUAGAUUUUGGGGCUAGAUUGUAGUCAUCAGAGGGAGCCAAGUCGAUGAAUCAAAUUUCGUCACGUGGGAGAAUCAGAUUUUUGGGGCCGGAUUGUUGAGGGAGUUGCUUGAUGGCAAUUAUGAUUUUGGGAAAAAUUUAGGAAUGAAUUGAUUUUCUCGGUUCAUUGCCCUUUUUCACUUCGAUUCCAAUUUCAUUUCCUUUUUUUUUUUUUUUAGUUUGUUC